AUCUCUGGCCAUACCACCCUGAACAGCCGGAUCUCGUCUGAUCUCUGAAGCUAAGCAGGGUAGAGCCCAGCUAGUCUUGGAUGGGAGAAG
rnacentral:rRNA from 1 species